rnacentral:rRNA from 1 species
CCUACGGGAGGCAGCAGUGGGGAAUAUUGGACAAUGGGCGAAAGCCUGAUCCAGCCAUGCCGCGUGUGUGAAGAAGGCCUUCGGGUUGUAAAGCACUUUCAGUGGGGAAGAAAGCCUUGGGGCUAAUACCCUCGAGGAAGGACAUCACCCACAGAAGAAGCACCGGCUAACUCCGUGCCAGCAGCCGCGGUAAUACGGAGGGUGCGAGCGUUAAUCGGAAUUACUGGGCGUAAAGCGCGCGUAGGCGGUCUGAUAAGCCGGUUGUGAAAGCCCCGGGCUCAACCUGGGAACGGCAUCCGGAACUGUCAGGCUAGAGGGCAGGGGAGGAAGGGAGAAAACCCGGGGUAGGGGUGAAAUGCGUAGAGACCGGGAGGAAUACCAGUGGCGAAGGCGGCCUUCUGGACUGACACUGACGCUGAGGUGCGAAAGCGUUGGUAGCAAACAGGAUUAGAUACCCAGUAGUC